rnacentral:rRNA from 1 species
GUGGCGAACGGGUGAGUAACACGUGAGUAACCUGCCCUUGACUCUGGGAUAAGCUGCUGGAAACGGCGUCUAAUACCGGAUACGACCUGCCCCGGCAUCGGGUGCGGGUGGAAAGUUUUUCGGUCAAGGAUGGACUCGCGGCCUAUCAGGUAGUUGGUGAGGUAAUGGCUCACCAAGCCGACGACGGGUAGCCGGCCUGAGAGGGUGACCGGCCACACUGGGACUGAGACACGGCCCAGACUCCUACGGGAGGCAGCAGUGGGGAAUAUUGCACAAUGGGCGAAAGCCUGAUGCAGCAACGCCGCGUGGGGGAUGACGGCCUUCGGGUUGUAAACCUCUUUUAGUAGGGAAGAAGGGCUUCGGCUUGACGGUACCUGCAGAAAAAGCACCGGCUAACUACGUGCCAGCAGCCGCGGUAAUACGUAGGGUGCAAGCGUUGUCCGGAAUUAUUGGGCGUAAAGAGCUCGUAGGCGGUUUGUCGCGUCUGCUGUGAAAACCCGAGGCUCAACCUCGGGCCUGCAGUGGGUACGGGCAGACUAGAGUGCGGUAGGGGAGAAUGGAAUUCCUGGUGUAGCGGUGGAAUGCGCAGAUAUCAGGAGGAACACCGAUGGCGAAGGCAGUUCUCUGGGCCGUUACUGACGCUGAGGAGCGAAAGCGUGGGGAGCGAACAGGAUUAGAUACCCUGGUAGUCCACGCCGUAAACGUUGGGAACUAGAUGUGGGGACCUUUCCACGGUCUCCGUGUCGCAGCUAACGCAUUAAGUUCCCCGCCUGGGGAGUACGGCCGCAAGGCUAAAACUCAAAGGAAUUGACGGGGGCCCGCACAAGCGGCGGAGCAUGCGGAUUAAUUCGAUGCAACGCGAAGAACCUUACCAAGGCUUGACAUAUACCGGAAACUUCCAGAAAUGGUUGCCCCGCAAGGUCGGUAUACAGGUGGUGCAUGGUUGUCGUCAGCUCGUGUCGUGAGAUGUUGGGUUAAGUCCCGCAACGAGCGCAACCCUCGUUCUAUGUUGCCAGCACGUCAUGGUGGGAACUCAUAGGAGACUGCCGGGGUCAACUCGGAGGAAGGUGGGGAUGACGUCAAAUCAUCAUGCCCCUUAUGUCUUGGGCUUCACGCAUGCUACAAUGGCCGGUACAAAGGGCUGCGAUACCGUAAGGUGGAGCGAAUCCCAAAAAGCCGGUCUCAGUUCGGAUUGAGGUCUGCAACUCGACCUCAUGAAGUCGGAGUCGCUAGUAAUCGCAGAUCAGCAACGC